rnacentral:rRNA from 1 species
UCUGGUAAUGAUGGCAGAGAGGUCACACCCGUUCCCAUACCGAACACGGAAGUUAAGCUCUCUAGCGCCGAUGGUAGUUGGGACCUUGUCCCUGUGAGAGUAGGAGGUUGCCAGGC